GCCGCUGUGGCGCAACGGAUAGCGCGCUGGACUUCUAAUUCAGAGGUGUGGGGUCGAGUCCCAUCAGCGGUG
rnacentral:tRNA from 1 species